GGGGAAUUUUGGACCAAUGGCGCAAGCCUAAUCCAGCCAUUCCGCGUGCAGGAUGAAGGCCUUCGGGUUGUAAACUGCUUUUGUCCGGAACGAAAAGGUUCUCUCUAAUACAGGGGGCUAAUGACGGUACCGUAAGAAUAAGCACCGGCUAACUACGUGCCAGCAGCCGCGGUAAUACGUAGGGUGCAAGCGUUAAUCGGAAUUACUGGGCGUAAAGCGUGCGCAGGCGGUGAUGUAAGACAGAUGUGAAAUCCCCGGGCUCAACCUGGGAACUGCAUUUGUGACUGCAUUGCUGGAGUGCGGCAGAGGGGGAUGGAAUUCCGCGUGUAGCAGUGAAAUGCGUAGAUAUGCGGAGGAACACCGAUGGCGAAGGCAAUCCCCUGGGCCUGCACUGACGCUCAUGCACGAAAGCGUGGGGAGCAAACAGGAUUAGAUACCCUGGUAGUCCACGCCCUAAACGAUGUCAACUGGU
rnacentral:rRNA from 1 species